GGGAGGUAGUGACAAUAAAUAACAAUACGGGGCUCUUUCGGGUCUCGUAAUUGGAAUGAGUACAAUUUAAAUCUCUUAACGAGGAACAAUUGGAGGGCAAGUCUGGUGCCAGCAGCCGCGGUAAUUCCAGCUCCAAUAGCGUAUAUUAAAGUUGUUGCAGUUAAAAAGCUCGUAGUUGAAUUUCGGGGUCAGCAGGUUGGUCGUGCCACUGGUAUGCACUGGCUUCGCUGAUUCCUCCUUUCUGAAGAACUGUAAUGCCAUUAAUUUGGUGUUGCAGGGAAACAGGACUGUUACUUUGAAAAAAUUAGAGUGUUUAAAGCAAGCACGCGCUUGAAUACAUUAGCAUGGAAUAAUGAAAUAGGACGUUCGAUUCUAUUUUGUUGGUUUCUAGGAUCAACGUAAUGAUUAAUAGGGAUAGUUGGG
rnacentral:rRNA from 1 species